AUACGAAAGGUGCAAGCGUUGUUCGGAUUUACUGGGCGUAAAGAGAUCGUAGGUGGUUUGUUAAGUCGGAUGCGAAAUCCCGGGGCUCAACCCCGGAACUGCAUUCGAUACUGGCAGACUAGAGUUUGGGAGGGGUAAGCGGAAUUCCGUGUGUAGCAGUGAAAUGCGUAGAUAUACGGAGGAACACCUGAGGCGAAGGCGGCUUACUGGACCAAUACUGACACUGAGGAUCGAAAGCGUGGGUAGCAAACAGGAUUAGAAACCCCAGUAGUCC
rnacentral:rRNA from 1 species